UCUUUGCUAGUAUAUCGGUUAGUACACGCGCCUGUCAACUGAACUGGACGCGCGAAAGCUGGGUUCGACUCCCAGGCAGAGAG